UAAUUUUUAUCGCCGGAUAAAAAUUUGAGCGUCACACUUCCCAUCGCAGGCCUUUGAAGAUGGGAAGCAUGGCGCUCUUUUAUU
rnacentral:ncRNA from 1 species